UACGAAGAGGGCGAGUGUUAUUCAUAGUGAUUGGGCGUAAAGGGUACGUAGGCGGUUUGACCAGACCUUAAUUAAAUCCCAUGGCGCAACCGUGGUCUUUAAAGGUAACAGUCAAGCUAGAGUUUGGUAGAGGUAAGUGGUACUCUUAGAGAAAAAGUAAUAAUUGCCGAUUUUAAGGGGACCCCCAAUGGCGAAGGCAACUUACCAGGCCAUAACUGACGCUGAGGUACGGAAGCGUGGGGAGCAAACGGG
rnacentral:rRNA from 1 species